rnacentral:rRNA from 1 species
GAGUUUGAUCCUGGCUCAGAUUGAACGCUGGCGGCAGGCUUAACACAUGCAAGUCGAGCGGGGAAGGGUAGCUUGCUACCUGACCUAGCGGCGGACGGGUGAGUAAUGCUUAGGAAUCUGCCUAUUAGUGGGGGACAACAUUCCGAAAGGAAUGCUAAUACCGCAUACGCCCUACGGGGGAAAGCAGGGGAUCUUCGGACCUUGCGCUAAUAGAUGAGCCUAAGUCAGAUUAGCUAGUUGGUGGGGUAAAGGCCUACCAAGGCGACGAUCUGUAGCGGGUCUGAGAGGAUGAUCCGCCACACUGGGACUGAGACACGGCCCAGACUCCUACGGGAGGCAGCAGUGGGGAAUAUUGGACAAUGGGCGAAAGCCUGAUCCAGCCAUGCCGCGUGUGUGAAGAAGGCCUUUUGGUUGUAAAGCACUUUAAGCGAGGAGGAGGCUACUUAGAUUAAUACUCUAGGAUAGUGGACGUUACUCGCAGAAUAAGCACCGGCUAACUCUGUGCCAGCAGCCGCGGUAAUACAGAGG